UACGGGGGGAGCAAGCGUUGUUCGGAUUUACUGGGCGUAAAGGGCGCGUAGGCGGCCACCGCAAGUCAAUUGUGAAAUCUCCGGCUUAACUCGGAAAGGUCAGCCGAUACUGCGGGCUAGAGUGCAGAAGGGGCAACUGGAAUUCUCGGUGUAGCGGUGAAAUGCGUAGAUAUCAGGAAGAACACCCGUGGCGAAAGCGGCUCUCUGGGCAACAACUGACGCUGAGGAGCGAAAGCGUGGGGAGCGAACAGG
rnacentral:rRNA from 1 species